CCGACGGUGAGGGAUGAAACCUAGGGGAGCGAGCCGGAUUAGAUACCCGGGUAGUCCUAGGCGUAAAUGAUGCGAGUUAAGUGUGGGGGCAUCUACGAGAUGGCCCUGUGCUGUAGGGUAGCCGUUAAACUCGCCGCCUGGGGAGUACGGUCGCAAGGCUGAAACUUAAAGGAAUUGGCGGGGGAGCACCACAAGAGGUGGAGGCUGCGGUUCAAUUGGACUCAACGCCGGAAAACUCACCGGGAGC
rnacentral:rRNA from 1 species